AUGGCGGCCAAGGUGCUCCAGCUCCGCAGCGCCGACGGCAAGGUGCUCGUCGCUCCGGCGUGGGACUAUCGUCCGGCCGCCGCCCAAGCCCUCCCGCUGGAGAUGCGGGUGCCCUCGCGCGCCCUCGAGAGGGUGCUCCAGUACUGGACCAAGCACAGCCUGGCCAAGGCCACCGGUGAGUCCCGGGAGUCCCUCGCCCGCUGGGACGCCGACUUCCAGCGCCGUCUCGACGAAGACGGCAUCGCCAAGGAGGCCGCCGCAGCCGUUCAAGAACUCCGCCGCCACGGCGUCCACCAUGGAGGGCGUCCCCGUCGCCACGCCGGCACGGGCGCAUCUGGUGUCGCUGCUCCAGCCACCGCCACCCGUGCUGAUCCCGUCCGUGCCUGGUGCCAACUCGUUCACCACCUCAAGGGUGUCGACCACGGAGAACCUAGCCCAGCGCCGACGGCGCCCAUCACUUUCCAUGCCUCCGAUAUUGCCGUCGCCGCGCGCCCUGGGCCUGCCACCACCUUGCCGGCCGCUGCUGGUGCUCAACCCGUUGGUGUCCGGUGCGCCAUCCGUGCCCGUGGACGCCAGAUGGCUGAAGACGAGGAGUCCGCUUGCCACCACCGCAAGCUCCCGGCUUCCAAGCCUCGCUCUUCGGUCUGCCUGCCUGCCACUGCUGCUGCGCCCGUGAAGAAGGUCUCUCGUCAGGUCGCUUCCAAGGCUUGCUCUUUCGUCGGCUCUACACCACUGCCUGCCACUGCCACUGCUGUGAAGAAGAUGACUCCAGCAGCUUCAACUCUGCGCGCAAGAAGGGGGAUGGGGGAGCUCAGCUGCAAGGUUCCGAAGCAAAACCAAUCGCCAUUGCCUGUCAUUGCUGUUGCAGCACCAAUGAAGCAACCAAUUCCUUGGCUGCGUCCAGUGGUAUCACGCCUUCCCUAG
rnacentral:rRNA from 1 species